rnacentral:lncRNA from 1 species
AGAGCUCAAGAAGCUCACUCAAUUGCACAAGCUCGAAGUGACCGGCAUCAACAAGAAAAACAGCAAAGAGUUCUGUUCCACCAUCUCAGACCACGUUCAUUUGGAAUCCUUAUCAGUUUGGCUCUGCAUGGGCAAUAACAAACCAUGUUUGAAUGACAUGUUCUGGCCUCCGCAGAAACAUCUGGAAAAACUUCAGAGCCUUAAACUAUAUGGUCUUGCAAAAGUGGUGCCACCAUGGAUCAAAGAUCUUGCUAAACUCACAAAGUUACAUGUGAAUAUGGCCAUAUAAAAAAUGUUAACAUAAGUGAAGUUCUUGGGGAAAUAAAAGGACUAUGUAUUCUGCGUCUUGAUAUCAGGCCACUUGAAAAUGGUGAUGGUGACCUUAACUUCUGUGUCAAGGUGAAUGGAGUAGAGCAGCAGUUAUUUGAACGUCAGGAUACUUGAGAUUGCUUGUAACUCUGAGUUAAAUGUAUCCUUUGGAUCAUUAGCAAUGGAAAAUCUGCUGACAGCUAAAUGCUGUGGGUCGGCAGUGAAGUUUGCUGAGCUAAAGAGUCUCUCUAAAGGAAAACUCCAGGAGGUGCGGUAUUUGGGUUCCUUUAACAAAACAGAUAAGGUGGACGUGGAGAAUCAACUUAGCCAGCAUCCUAAGACACCUGCUUUGAAACUGGAGGAACCAUGUUUGUCCUGAUGCAUACUGACAAUCGGUCUGCUGCUUGCUGAUUCUGGCACCAGAGCAGGACCAGGACUAAAUGACUGGUGUUUUUCAUUUAAACCUUCCCGAUUCAUUUACCUACACUCUAGGCAUUUGAACUAAAACAUCUGCGUCCAUGGCAGUGUAAAGAUAAUUGUUGCUUCUCGAUGUCAAAAUCUACUUGGAGAAAACUAAGGGGUGAACAUAUAUAGCAAAAAUGCUGAAUUGACUCGAGUGUGUUUACUCUGUACUGCAAAAGUUUUAUGCAUCUGUGGUAUAUAAUGGACGUGUGCAUUGACACUGUAAUUCAAUUAUCUUAUUUUAAUUUCAUGCUUGCUGUCCCCUGAUUCCUUGCGUGAUAUUCUGUAGAUGUCGUCUCUCAUAGUUUCUUAUUACUGGUUCAUGUUAAUUCCAGGUCUCAUGGAGUUGAUAUGUCGAUGUGCCUAAAGUUUUGACCAAUUGUAGGAACCGAUCUUUCUCCAUUAGAGUACACGAUCUCUUGUGCUAGGUGCUAUGCACAUCUGAUUUGUGCUAGUCCAUCAAAACGUGCUCCUGCACAGGCAAGUAAUCCUAAGCGACAAGGAUAAAUGUGAUACCCAUAGCUAACCAGAAUUGCAUAUCUUUUUUUUACAUUUGUUCUUAUUUUAAUACUUUCUCAUCUUUGUCUGGUUGUAAUAGAGUUUAGCACCAACUAAAUAUAUGCUUUCCUAUGCCCAUUCAUAGUUUUUCACUUUUCUAUCACACAUCGAUGCGUGUGUGACAUAUGUUUAGUUCAGACUUACGUUACAUCCAUUGCUUCAUACAUACAAGUAUACAUGGUGUAACAAAGAUCAUAAAUCUAUGUGUUGAGUUGGGCCUUGUUUAGAUGCGAAAACUUUUUGGAUUUCACUACUGUAGCACUUUUGUUUGUUUGUUUGUGACAAAUAUUGUCCAAUCAUAGACUAACUAGGGUUAAAAGAUUCGUCUCGCGAUUUACAGUCAAACUGUGUAAUUAGUUUUUGUUUUUGUCUAUAUUUAAUACUUUAUGCAUGUGUUGCAAGAUUCGAUGUGACGGAGAAUCUUGAAAACAUUUUGGUUUUUGGGGUGAACUAAACAAGGCCUUAGUUUUUUCCCCCUAUAUUAAUAAUGGCUGAAGAUGGCAAGUAGGAAAAACAAUUACUUGGGGACAUUAUCUUUAAAAUGACGAGGCAGGCAUUUAGAUCCAUAUGUCUUCCUUUAUUUAAUUUAUUUUUACUAAUGGUGGAAGCCAGUGACUUGUAUGAGAAUUUAGAAGACUACUAUAGAUUAUUUUUCAUAAUUUUAUAAUGUUAGGAACAUUAGGGGCACCAUAUAUUGACCAAUGCCCAUGACAAAAAUCUGAAUUUUAAAGUGCACCAUAUAUGAAAUCAUAUGUGGCACAGAGGCUGUUUGGACCUAGAAGUCUUGGGUUUCUUUAGUAAACUUUAAUUUUCCAAGGACAAGGCUAUCUAAAAAUUCCCAUCUCACUGGCCCAGUAAACUGCAAGCAAUGUUUCUCAGAGAAGCAACACGCAAGGUUACAAGUUAAGCAUCAACAAGUAAACUAGAUCUAGAAUAAAUAACAGACCCUCUUGUCUACGAAGCACGAAACAGAGGAACAACUUCCAAUCCGCAAAUCCCAUCUCCUGUACCCUCCCCUGCUUGCUUUGUAAAAGGGAAAAAAAGAGCAAGAAUUUAGUAUACCUUGGGCCAGAAGGACGUACUGGGGCAACAGGAAGAUGCGAUGCGACGCGACGUGCAGGUGUGGACGCCCUUCCGCCUCUUGAAGCUCAAUCUGCUAGUCUGCUACCGGAUUCCGUGGACAGGGGCUGCAGUGUCAUGGCUUAGUUGUGCUCGGCGGCUGUGGGGAUUCCGUGGAGUAGCGAGAGCGGAAUCUGGGGAGGGUGUUGAGCACCGUUGGCGGACGCUGGGACUGGGAAUUGGGGAACGCCGGCCGGCGGCGGGGCCCUGUAUUGCCUGGCCUGCGCAGCAACUCCAGCAACGCUGAAAGCGCACGAGCUAACCAAUUUCUCAAAGCAAACAACAGCCCGUUGAGGCUCGUGGUGAUGGUACUCGAGUUUAACUCUAGACAACUAUGAGGAAGAUGGUUUUUCAUGUAUGCCAUUAACCAAGAUGGUCCCUUACUCCAUACCAUUAAAAAGUUAGAACCGGCCAAA